AAUUUUUCAAAUUCAAGGUAAGGGAAGGGGCAAUAAGGCAAAGCAAAGAAAUUAAAAAAAGAAAUGACACUAAAGAAAUCAGUAUUAUGAAUGAAUUAAACACAUUAAUGAAGAAAGAUGCUCUAUCAGAUGAUGAAGAAAUUAAAUUGAAAAGACUAAAGGAAGAAAUAGAUAAGGCAUAUAUUAACAUGGCUAAAGGGGCUUUUAUAAGGUCCAAAGCAAAAUGGCUAGAACUAUAUGGAAGAAAUCAUCAGAAUCCAACUAUUUUUAGACAUUGAAUUUAUAACACUGAAUUUUUAUCCUCCAAAUUUCCCUGCAAAAAUAUUCACCUGCAAAAAUUCACCUGCAAAAAAUUCAACUGCAAAAAUUCACCUGCAAAAAUUCACCUGCAAAAAUUCACCUGCAAAAUUUCAACUGCAAAAGUGAUGAACUUAAAUGACCCAAGCCAGAGCAAUCAGCACAAGAUCGAGUCGAGCGGCUCUCAGACAAUUAAAUUAUGCUGUUUGAUCACAUGACACCGUUAGCCAGCAGUGUGUCUCCUGAAAAGAGAGCUGUUUAGAGGUGAGUGAUUAAGUUUUUCUCCUAAAUAGGGAUCAUUACAGAACGCCUAGUCCUACUUAAAAUCCCAUUCAUUUUUCUUUUAUUUUAUCAUCUACUCGAACUGAGGAAAACGUUUGACUAACUCAAAGAAAAUUUCCGCGCCUCCCCUGCCUGUCUGCAGAGGCAGUUUUGAAUUUAGGAGCGGCAAGAUGGCAGCGGCAAACCCUGGCGGUUCUCCGAUUAUGCAAGAUGAAAUUAUUCAGUCAGCAAGACACUUGCUGCAGUUGCUGACAUCAUCCAACCGAACUGCUGCUGUGAUGAAUCAGAAUACAAGAGAACAGAGUCAAGGUGGCCAGGGUACCAGCUCGGUCAACCCUGAAAGACCAUCCGUUCAGCAAGAAAUGACCAGGUCUUUUCCUGGUAUUUUCUCAAGAGGAAAGGGGAAAAGGCGAUUCCCUGCUACAUCUCUGGUGCCUGCUAAGAAGCCUAAACCUCUUGAAGUGGUAUUUUAUUUGCUCCCAAAACAAAUGGAGAAGACCCCAAAUGAACAUGAAAAAUAUAUCCACACACAGGCAGGAAUGGGUCAAAGAACAGGACAUCUUGAUGAGAGCACAACACAUGAAGAGUUAAAGGAUGCCCUGAAUGAUUUGUUUCCCAAACUGAAGGAGGUAACAGGUGGCUGGCUGCUGUUCAAACCUGGGGGUGUGUAUGAAAUCUGCACUGUGUUAGGAUGCAUUGUCUAAAUUAAACUAGGAACUGAUCCUGCUGUUUAAUAAGUAUUUUUAGGACAAGUUCUGUUUCACUGCAUGUUGUGAAUUCCUAAUACAUAAAUAUAUCUUAAAAGAAAUACUUGUGUUCAUUACUUUAUUUUGGUGAUCUGACAGGGGAUACAGCUAUCGGACAAGGAGUAAUACGUUUUUUCUUAUCAACCUGCAUGGAGAAGCUGAUGUCUGGUUUUUGCAUCAAUUUUGGUUAGUUUGUUUUUGGUUGACGAUACCUAUGUUUGAUGAUCAUUAUAUUGUAUAACUUUUCAUAACUUAAUUAACUGUCAGGUUUUUUUGUGAAAACCUCUGUAUUGUGUGGAAGUAAUCUUUUUUUUUCUUUCUUUUCAUUUAUCUUAUAGCAAAC
ensembl:lncRNA